GCUUGUCUCAAAGAUUAAGCCAUGCAUGUCUAAGUAUAAACUGCUUUAUACUGUGAAACUGCGAAUGGCUCAUUAAAUCAGUUAUAGUUUAUUUGAUGGUACUUACUUACUCGGAUAACCGUAGUAAUUCUAGAGCUAAUACGUGCGUAAAUCCCGACUUCUGGAAGGGACGUAUUUAUUAGAUAAAAGGCCGACCGAGCUUGCUCGUCUCUUGGUGAAUCAUGAUAACUUCACGAAUCGCAUGGCCUCGCGCCGGCGAUAUUUCAUUCAAAUUUCUGCCCUAUCAAUUGGCGAUGGUAGGAUAGAGGCCUACCAUGGUGUUAACGGGUGACGGGGGAUUAGGGUUCGAUUCCGGAGAGGCAGCCUGAGAAACGGCUACCACAUCCAAGGAAGGCAGCAGG
rnacentral:rRNA from 1 species